AAGGGAGGGGAGGGUGGGGGACUUCUGACAACAUGAAGGUUUUAUUUGUUCAGGGAAAGACCAGAAACAACAGAAGUGUGAUGUCAGUGGAUCUGCUCAUCCAGAUGUCCUCAUUGUAGGUUGGGUUCUCCAGGAAGAAGACAGAGAUGGAGCUAGAAGCACAAGAAACUUUGGACGAGUAAUACCUGUUGAAGGAAAAGGUAAGGAAGAAGCAGAAAUGGGCAGAGGGAGCCAUCAGAAUGUGGCACAGAUCUGUCAAAAGGUUCUCCCAGCCCAGUGUGGAACUUUAUGCAAAGUGAUUCUGCUGGAAGAUUUGAACAAAAAAAUGGCUAGGAGCUAGACCAACUAUUUUGCCCAGCUACUGGCUGUGGGUAUCGAUAAGAACAUUCCCUGG
rnacentral:lncRNA from 10 species